rfam:Thalassotalea sp. ND16A ctg83, whole genome shotgun sequence.
CGUUCUCUGGGGUGUUCGGUUAUUAACUAUGUCCCUGAGCCGAUAAGUUUUACCUAAGGGGGUUUAUCGGUUGCUAUUGAGCAAGCCCGUGUAAAUCGGGAAGCCUACGGCAGCUGUGCAAUCUCCGCCUUGAACACACGGUUGUUCAAGGGCUGACGUUGGUAACGGCAUCUUGGAGAGCUA